UCACAGCUUGUCAGCGAGAUGUGUUCGUACUGCUUGUUCCCAGUUGCUGACAAGUCCGGAACAAGUUGUUAUCAUCUUGUUACAAGGUUGACGAGGCCAACAGACUCGCAACAAGUUGUUCCAACAAGUCUGAUAUCGUCUGCACGUAACAAGUUGAUGACAACAAGCUCGUAGCAACUUGUUACGAACACAGGCGUAUUAGUCUUGUUGGAACAACUUGUAGCAAGUCUGUUACCGUCAUCAACCUUGUAACAAGGUGGUAACAACUUGUUCCAGACUUGUC